rnacentral:rRNA from 1 species
GACGAACGCUGGCGGCGUGCUUAACACAUGCCAGUCGAACGGAAAGGCCCUGCUUUUGUGGGGUGCUCGAGUGGCGAACGGGUGAGUAACACGUGAGUAACCUGCCCUUGACUUUGGGAUAACUUCAGGAAACUGGGGCUAAUACCGGAUAGGAGCUCCUGCUGCAUGGUGGAGGUUGGAAAGUUUCGGCGGUUGGGGAUGGACUCGCGGCUUAUCAGCUUGUUGGUGGGGUAGUGGCUUACCAAGGCUUUGACGGGUAGCCGGCCUGAGAGGGUGACCGGCCUCAUUGGGACUGAGAUACGGCCUAGACUCCUACGGGAGGCAGCAGUGGGGAAUAUUGCACAAUGGGCGGAAGCCUGAUGCAGCAACACCGCGUGCGGGAUGACGGCCUUCGGGUUGUAAACCGCUUUCGCCUGUGACGAAGCGUGAGUGACGGUAAUGGGUAAAGAAGCACCGGCUAACUACGUG